rnacentral:rRNA from 1 species
AAUAUUGGACAAUGGGGGAAACCCUGCUCCAGCCAUGCCGCGUGUGUGAAGAAGGUCUUCGGAUUGUAAAGCACUUUAAGUGGGGAGGAAGGGCUUUGGGUUAAUACCCUGAAGUUUGGACGUUACCAACAGAGUAAGCACCGGCUAACUCUGUGCCAGCAGCCGCUGUAAUACAGGGGGUGCAAGCGUUAAUCGGAAUUACUGGGCGUAAAGCGCGCGUAGGUGGUUCAGUAAGAUGGGUGUGAAAUCCCCGGGCUUAACCUGGGAACUGCUUUCAUAACUGCUGAGCUAGAGUACGGUAGAGGGUAGUGGAAUUUCCUGUGUAGCGGUGAAAUGCGUAGGUAUAGGAAGGAACACCAGUGGCGAAGGCGACUACCUGGACUGAUACUGACACUGAGGUGCGAAAGCGUGGGGAGCAAACA